rnacentral:rRNA from 1 species
GACGAACGCUGGCGGCGUGCCUAAUACAUGCAAGUAGAACGCUGAAGAGAGGAGCUUGCUCUUCUUGGAUGAGUUGCGAACGGGUGAGUAACGCGUAGGUAACCUGCCUUGUAGCGGGGGAUAACUAUUGGAAACGAUAGCUAAUACCGCAUAACAAUGGAUGACACAUGUCAUUUAUUUGAAAGGGGCAAUUGCUCCACUACAAGAUGGACCUGCGUUGUAUUAGCUAGUAGGUGAGGUAACGGCUCACCUAGGCGACGAUACAUAGCCGACCUGAGAGGGUGAUCGGCCACACUGGGACUGAGACACGGCCCAGACUCCUACGGGAGGCAGCAGUAGGGAAUCUUCGGCAAUGGGGGCAACCCUGACCGAGCAACGCCGCGUGAGUGAAGAAGGUUUUCGGAUCGUAAAGCUCUGUUGUAAGUCAAGAACGAGUGUGAGAGUGGAAAGUUCACACUGUGACGGUAGCUUACCAGAAAGGGACGGCUAACUACGUGCCAGCAGCCGCGGUAAUACGUAGGUCCCGAGCGUUGUCCGGAUUUAUUGGGCGUAAAGCGAGCGCAGGCGGUUUGAUAAGUCUGAAGUUAAAGGCUGUGGCUCAACCAUAGCUCGCUUUGGAAACUGUCAAACUUGAGUGCAGAAGGGGAGAGUGGAAUUCCAUGUGUAGCGGUGAAAUGCGUAGAUAUAUGGAGGAACACCGGUGGCGAAAGCGGCUCUCUGGUCUGUAACUGACGCUGAGGCUCGAAAGCGUGGGGAGCGAACAGGAUUAGAUACCCUGGUAGUCCACGCCGUAAACGAUGAGUGCUAGGUGUUGGAUCCUUUCCGGGAUUCAGUGCCGCAGCUAACGCAUUAAGCACUCCGCCUGGGGAGUACGACCGCAAGGUUGAAACUCAAAGGAAUUGACGGGGGCCCGCACAAGCGGUGGAGCAUGUGGUUUAAUUCGAAGCAACGCGAAGAACCUUACCAGGUCUUGACAUCCCGAUGCUAUUUCUAGAGAUAGAAAGUUACUUCGGUACAUCGGUGACAGGUGGUGCAUGGUUGUCGUCAGCUCGUGUCGUGAGAUGUUGGGUUAAGUCCCGCAACGAGCGCAACCCCUAUCGUUAGUUGCCAUCAUUCAGUUGGGCACUCUAGCGAGACUGCCGGUAAUAAACCGGAGGAGGGUGGGGAUGACGUCAAACCAUCAUGCCCCUUAUGACCUGGGCUACACACGUGCUACAAUGGUUGGUACAACGAGUUGCGAGUCGGUGACGGCAAGCUAAUCUCUUAAAGCCAAUCUCAGUUCGGAUUGUAGGCUGCAACUCGCCUACAUGAAGUCGGAAUCGCUAGUAAUCGCGGAUCAGCACGCCGCGGUGAAUACGUUCCCGGGCCU